AUGAUCCCAGAGAACAAGGACCUGUGUUCUCCCCUGGGGUGCUUUCCUUCCCUCUGGGCUUCACAGGAGAAGUCCAAAGAGUGGAUGCUAGACGUGCAGGGGGGUGAGAUCCACAGGACAGGGAGGCCUCGGGGACAGGACAGGAGUCAGGACAGACAGGUAACCGGGCAUCUGCAUGUGGGCUCUUCCCUCCAGGCUGUGUCAUCCUUCCUCAGAACAUUUGCCAUGAUCGGGGGAGGGGAGAAGUCAUUCUCUCUUGCAACUCAUGGUUAGACAGGAAUCUAUUUCCUAAUAUUUAGAGAGACUAUUGUUUUCUCGAUGUGGGAUACAUCACCUGGAGGUCCAUCCCACAAACAAAGAAACAGUGGUGAAGAGAGGCUUUCCUUCCUUUACCUGCGUGUGUGUGUGUGUGUGUGUUGUGUGUGUGUGUGUGUGUGUGUGUGUUUCUCUGGUUCUGGCAUUUACCUUCCCUGGCUCUAAGGAAAUCCUCUUCUAGGGUAUUCUUUUUUUUUAAAUAAAUUUAUUUUUUAUUGGUGUUCAAUUUGCUAACAUACAGAAUAACACCCAGUACUCAUCCCGUCAAGUACCCCCCUCAGCGCCCGCCACCCAUUCACCCCCACUCCCCUCCGACUUCCCUUUCCACCACCCCUAGUUCGUUUCCCAGAGUUAGGAGUCUUUAUGUUCUGUCUCCCUUUCUGAUAUUUCCCACACAUUUCAACUCCCUUCCCUUAUAUUCCCUUUCACUAUUAUUUAUAUUCCCCAAAUGAAUGAGAACAUACACUGUUUGUCCUUCCAUUGACUUACUUCACUCAGCAUAAUACCCUCCAGUUCCAACCACGUUGAAGCAAAUGGUGGGUAUUUGUCAUUUCUAAUGGCUGAGGAAUAUUCCAUUGUAUACAUAGACCACAUCUUCUUUAUCCAUUCAUCUUUGAUGGACACCGAGGCUCCUCCACAGUUUGGCUAUUGUGGCCAUUGCUGCUAGAAACAUCGGGGUGCAGGUGUUCCGGCGUUUCAUCGCAUCUGUAUCUUUGGGGUAAAUCCCCAGCAGUGCAAUUGCUGGGUCGUAGGGCAGAUCUAUUUUUAACUCUUUGAGGAACCUCCACACAGUUUUCCAGAGUGGCUGCACCAGUUCACAUUCCCACCAACAGUGUAGAGGGUUCCCUUUCUCCGCAUCCUCUCCAACAUUUGUUGUUUCCUGCCUUGUUAAUGUUCCCCAUUCUCACUGGUGUGAGGUGGUAUCUCCUUGUGGUUUGAUUUGUAUUUCCCUGAUGGCAAGUGAUGCGGAGCAUUUUCUCAUGUGCAUGUUGGCCAUGUCUAUGUCUUCCUCUGUGAGAUUUCUGUUCGUGUCUUUUGCUCUUCUAGGGUAUUCUAAAUUUCUUUCUGAACUGAAACCCAUCUCUAGUGGAGGCAGCUACUGAUCCAGGAUCUGGUUCAUUGUGUUUUAUAAAAGAUGUGUGUCCCUGGGGGAGGAAGAGGGUUAAGUGUAGAAUGUCGAGAGGUAAUAUGAUUACCCAGCUCCUGGAUGUAAUUACCCAUUAG
rnacentral:lncRNA from 1 species